AUGCUCAUUUUGCAACACAGAUACUAAUAUUGUAAAGAUACAGAGAAGAUUAGCAUGGCUCCUAGGCAAGGAUGAUAUGCAGAUUCAUGAAAUAUUUCAUAUUUAA
ensembl:snRNA U6 U6 spliceosomal RNA